rnacentral:rRNA from 1 species
AACGGGGCUUCGGCUCCGGCGCAAAGAGAGGCCCAAGUGAGAUUAGCUAGUUGGUAAGGUAACGGCUUACCAAGGCGACGAUCUCUAGCUGUUCUGAGAGGAAGAUCAGCCACACUGGGACUGAGACACGGCCCAGACUCCUACGGGAGGCAGCAGUGGGGAAUAUUGCACAAUGGGGGAAACCCUGAUGCAGCCAUGCCGCGUGUGUGAAGAAGGCCUUCGGGUUGUAAAGCACUUUCAGUUGUGAGGAAAAGUUAGUAGUUAAUACCUGCUAGCCGUGACGUUAACAACAGAAGAAGCACCGGCUAACUCCGUGCCAGCAGCCGCGGUAAUACGGAGGGUGCGAGCGUUAAUCGGAAUUACUGGGCGUAAAGCGCACGCAGGCGGUUUGUUAAGCUAGAUGUGAAAGCCCCGGGCUCAACCUGGGAUGGUCAUUUAGAACUGGCAGACUAGAGUCUUGGAGAGGGGAGUGGAAUUCCAGGUGUAGCGGUGAAAUGCGUAGAUAUCUGGAGGAACAUCAGUGGCGAAGGCGACUCCCUGGCCAAAGACUGACGCUCAUGUGCGAAAGUGUGGGUAGCGAACAGGAUUAGAUACCCUGGUAGUCCACACCGUAAACGCUGUCUACUAGCUGUGUGUGUCUUUAAGACGUGCGUAGCGAAGCUAACGCGCUAAGUAGACCGCCUGGGGAGUACGGCCGCAAGGUUAAAACUC